rnacentral:rRNA from 1 species
GACGAACGCUGGCGGCGUGCUUAACACAUGCAAGUCGAACGAGUGGAGAACGGGGGAGUAACGCGGAGGUAACUACCUAUUAGAGGGGGAUAAAUAUUGGAAACGAAAGCUAAUACCGCAUAAUAGUAGAUGGACAUGCGUUGUAUUAGCGAGUAGGUAGGGCAAUGGCCUACCUAGGCAACGAUACAUAGCCGACCGGGGAGUGUGAACGGCCACACCGGGUCGUGGCCACCGCCCAGCCUCCUACGGGAGGCAGCAGUAAGGAAUCUUCGGCUAUGGGGGGAACCCUGACCGAGCAACUCCGCGUGAUUGAGGAAGGUUUUCUGUUCGUAAAGCUCUGUUGUUAAGGAAGCGGUACUUAACCAGAAAGGGACGGCUAACUACGUGCCAGCAGCCGCGGUAAUAC